GACGAACCGUGCGAACGUUGUUCGGAAUCACUGGGCUUAAAGGGCGCGUAGGCGGGCCUUCAAGUCCGGGGUGAAAGCCUCCCGCUUAACGGGAGAAGAGCCUCGGAGACUGAGGGCCUCGAGGAGGGUAGGGGCGUGCGGAACUAUGGGUGGAGCGGUGAAAUGCAUUGAUAUCCAUAGGAACUCCGGUGGCGAAGGCGGCACGCUGGACCCUUUCUGACGCUGAGGCGCGAAAGCCAGGGGAGCAAACGGG
rnacentral:rRNA from 1 species